CAAUGUUUCGUUGUUUCGAGGUUUUACGGUGCGUGAUCUUCAAGCUAGGACCGUGCUUUCGUUAGAAUUUUAGAUGGUUGCACGUACACGUUGGUAUCUUUGGACUUUGAAUCCUUUCGAUGGGCACGUUCUUGGCGACUUGGAUUUAUUAUGCACCGUUAUAGUAAGUUUCUCUGUAAAUGAACAGCUUGUUUCAUGAUUCAAGUAAACGUUUUAGACGUUUGAAAAAUGGGAUGAAUAUUACUUCGUCGAUGUUACAGGCUAGCAUAUUUUAGUGAAGUAUUAAAAGAAAUGUUUUGCCUUAGAAAAUGAAACGAUAGAACUUUGUUGGUAACCAAGGUAGGUUCCUUUCCUAUUUAUCCGUGGAAUUUUCAUAAGAUAAAUUCGACAUUGCGGUAUUGUAUUUGCGAAACGGAGUCAAAUUGCGGCAAGGAAGAGAAUGACAGUGGUUUUGCAGGUACGCGUUUGACGAUGCACCUGCGACAAAUUUUCGAUUCCCAUGGGCCAAACAGUUUGUAGACAAAGCGAAUUUACUUGGUGAUUUAUAAAGACGUAAAAUUGUUAAGAUCGUUGUACGGGAAGCAUAGUCCGUAAUACGGUUUCCUCAAACUUGUCUAUUUUUCGAAGAAACGUAUAUACGGACGAGCA